AUAAUAAUUUAAGAUGUAAAAGCCAGCUUACAUAACACAAUUAUUUUUACCGUUUUGUAAUUAAGUUGUAAUAAUUGCUAAAAGAAAAUUGCAAAGGAAGUAGGAAUAAUAACUGUAACAUAACUUCUCAGGCCUGUUUCACCAGUUGUGGAUAAAUGCUAUUUGACGGAUGACGAUAAAUAUAGACUAUUUAUAACAGCGGAGGUAAAUAGGCCAAACAGUAAGACCUAUUUCUCCUCAAUUAAUAAAUUGGAAGAUUAAUAUAACUAUGCGAAUAGAAAAAUAUAUAUAUUAGCAUUUAUUUAUAGGC